AAUGAAUGUCUUUUGGAUGAAUCUGUGAAUUGAGUUCUAUAAUCCUGGUGUCCAUUCUGAGUUUCUUCUGGGGUCUAACUCACAGGGAGAAACCACUGCUUCUACCAAUUGGGCAACGGGUGUAAAAGAGCACAGACACCACCAAGACUGGCUCUCAAGCUAUGGAAGCACCACAGGUGCAGGGUCAUGUUGCAGCAUGGACACUGGAUGCCAUCCCUAUAGCCAUAAGACAUUCCUAGAGAUGGGAGAUCAUUGAGAGAGAGAGGAGCAUGAUUUUACUCAGAUGCUCAAAAGAGUUUUUGACUAAGAAGGGGAUGUCUUCUUCAUGUGUAGAUUCCCAGCAUCUAGCACAGAGCCUGUUAUAAUAAUAGAGCACUGGAGCAAAAAAUUAAGAAUCCAUUUUCUAGACUCUAGACAAACAUAAAAUGAGGGAAUUUAGAUUUUCAAGAUACCUCCUUUUGUUCUGCAGAGGAAGACCACA